rnacentral:rRNA from 1 species
AACGAACGCUGGCGGCAUGCCUAACACAUGCAAGUCGAACGAUUGCCUUCGGGUGAUAGUGGCGCACGGGUGCGUAACGCGUGGGAAUCUGCCCUUAGGUUCGGAAUAACAGCUGGAAACGGCUGCUAAUACCGGAUGAUAUCGCGAGACCAAAGAUUUAUCGCCUGAGGAUGAGCCCGCGUUGGAUUAGGUAGUUGGUGGGGUAAAGGCCUACCAAGCCGACGAUCCAUAGCUGGUCUGAGAGGAUGAUCAGCCACACUGGGACUGAGACACGGCCCAGACUCCUACGGGAGGCAGCAGUGGGGAAUAUUGGACAAUGGGCGCAAGCCUGAUCCAGCAAUGCCGCGUGAGUGAUGAAGGCCCUAGGGUUGUAAAGCUCUUUUACCCGGGAAGAUAAUGACUGUACCGGGAGAAUAAGCCCCGGCUAACUCCGUG